rnacentral:rRNA from 1 species
CGGGGUGAGUAAUGUCUGGGAAACUGCCUGAUGGAGGGGGAUAACUACUGGAAACGGUAGCUAAUACCGCAUAACGUCGCAAGACCAAAGUGGGGGACCUUCGGGCCUCAUGCCAUAAGAUGUGCCCAGAUGGGAUUGGCUAGUAGGUGGGGUAACGGCUCACCUAGGCGACGAUCCCUAGCUGGUCUGAGAGGAUGACCAGCCACACUGGAACUGAGACACGGUCCAG